AAAAAAAAGAAAAAAGAAAGAAAGAAAAAAGUAAUGCUAGCUCACUGAAAGCAAUUUGCACUUUGAACCCCCUUUCACUGCAGGAAGUCAUCUCUGUCAGUCCUUGGUUAAAAGGUGGAUGGGCACAAGGUAAAGGAGAAAGACACCUUUGUACUCUUGCAUCUUUGAAACAGCUAAGUUAGACUUGCAUGAAGAUUAAUAUUGAAAGCCAAGGGAGAAGGACUGCAGCAGAGAUUUCAGAGUAAGGAGGCACAUCUGGUCCCGGGUCUCAAGCCAUCUGUGUGCUCCCAGCUUUAUUUGAACACAAUGAUUAAAAUACGUAUGUGGCCAGCCACAGGCAUGGUGUUCGGUCAUCCGGAAGAAAGGUCCUGUGGCUCAGCCCACAAACCUAAACUGAGCAAAGAUGUCAACUUCAUGAGUUAAAAAAUAUUGCUUCAAAUGGCAAGCAUGCUGACAGUAUAUCUAGAACAAAGGAGCACUGCUAUGUUGUAAACAUAGUUGCUGUCGUGCAGAGGCAUUAGUAACCAAGUAGGACAAAUGUUAAGCUGAUCUGUGAGGUGGCCAGAAUCUUGAGGCCUUUGGGUACUGAUGGUAACAAUGCUUCAUGAUUUGGCCAUGUAAUACAUCGUCCUGACCACUGCUUUUGAUAGAAUUUCAUUAUUGUGAUAAGUAAUGUGGUUAAAAGAGCCAAGCAUGGGUUUCUCAUUCACCUUGCUCUGUUUUCAUUCUACUGGCUUCCAUGGUCCGAGAGAGCCUUCUUGUCUCCCCUGUUAACUCUCCAUGGAAACAACGUGAUGGCUGCAGUCCAGCAUCCAUUGUGGACCAUGAGGCAAUCUUGAGAAUGGAAACCAUACAAUACAAUAGUCAAAGAGGAAAGGUUGGAUCGAUCAGUGAAGUUUCACAGAAGUUGUGACAUUUGGGUUGGAUCUUGAAAGAUAAUGGGAGCUUUGAAGGUGAAUGAAAAAAGAAGUGGAAGAACAUUCCUGGUAGAUGGAACAGCAUAUGCCAAAGCACAGAGGUCCACAUUGCCUUUAUGAGCUGUAAUACUCACUGCGAAGGUCUGCAGCUUCACUCCUGAAGCCAGCGAGACCACGAACCCACCGGGAGAAAUGAACAACUCCACACGCGCGGCCUUAAGAGCUGUAACACUCACGGCAAAGGUCCGCAGCUUCACUCCUGAGCUAGCGAGACCACGAACCCACCAGAAGGAAGAAACUCCGAACACAUCCGAACAUCAGAAGGAACAAACUCCAGACGCGCCACCUUAAGAGCUGUAACACUCACCGCGAGGGUCCGCGGCUUCAUUCUUGAAGUCAGUGAGACCAAAAACCCACCAAUUCCGGACACAGUAUUAGCCGACUUUCCCAUUUUCCCCCAGUUUCAUGAAUAUGAAGUGGAUGGUACAUCACUGUAAUUUACUCUUUCCUAGAAUUUUACCUUUUCCCUGAAUUUUACUUAUUCAAGGCUUUUAAAAUUCUCUAAACCAGUAUUGUUCAAUAGAACUUUCUUGCCAGGGUGGAAAUGUUCUCCCUUUGAUGGGUUUCUUUCCACUUUAGUGAGUCCUCUAAACUGCCAUCCAUUUUCCUACAAAGGAAAUCUGAUCAUGUCAACUAAACUUUAAAAUGUGACAAAACUGGAAAAAGUUUAGAUUAUCUGUGGUUUAUUUAUUGCCUACAGGCUGCACCAAAUUAUAAAGCUUGGACCACAAGGGUUUUAUAUCCAGCUCUGCUCUGUAUUUCCACCUUUAUCUCCAGGCUCUGAAUCCCACAUGCUCUGUGCUGAACUUCUUACUCAAAAAACACCAUAUCCCAGCUCUCUGAACCUUGUACUUGCAGGCCUCUCUCCUUGGUUUGCAUUUUUUCUUCCCUCACUUGCUACUCAUGCUUCUUUCCUAGCAUGCCUCCUCUACCAGAAUGAGCUUCAUGGGGAUGAAAGACUUUUCUUAUUCAUUUUUGUAUCCCUAGUAUCCACCCUGGUGCAAGCAAAAUAGCUGGGGUGCAAUAUUUGUUGAACGCGUGCAUGAAUGAGUGAGCGAAGUGUACUACCAAAAAAAAUGGCUGAAGGAGAAAAAUAUAGAAUACAGUAAAUAACUCUAAAACAACAGCCUUCUAUCAACCAUAGGCUAUAGGUAAUUCAAAAUAGGUAAUUCUUAUAUUAAACUGUAUUCUUUUCCACUGACCUUUUAAUUUAUUAUGGGUUAGUAUUAUUCCUCCUAGUUAACAAAGAAAAACUUUCCCAAAACCUGUCACUGAAGAAUGCUUCAGCUACAAGAAGCAGAGAAACAAAAUCAAAAGAACAAGCACGUAAAACCUGAUGACCAGUAGCUUAAACAAACAUUUUUUUUUUUUCCAAUUCAUAAGAAGCCUGAGGAGACUGCAACUGGGACAGACUGUGGCAUCUCUGCUAAGCUCUGACCUUUUCCUUCCUGUCACAGAGCUGCUGCUGCUCCUGACAGAUCCAUAUUGAAUGAAGAGGAGAAAGAAGGAACAAUGCCAGCUUGACUAUCCCUUAUGAAAGCAAAAAUGUUCCCACAACACCCCAUCACAGCAGACUUCUUAUAAUUUUAUUGGCCAAAAUUGGGUAAAUGGCCACUCCUAGCAUCCAAGGAGGUACAGAUGACCUUCACAGUUAUGAGCCAAUGAAUGGGACGCAUUGCCAGCACAAGGCAAAGAGGGUUUUGUUAGUGAGGAAGAAAGGCUAAUAGUGGAUAGUUAGCAAAGCAUCUUCCAUAAAACAAGACCCAGCAUUUAAAACGUUAAAACCAAAUAUCUGGUCUAAUCUCAUGUUUUAGCCACUCCCAUUCCACCUCCCAGAAGGCAUAGAGGCCUGAAGACUUAAAAUGUCCCAAGAUGUACUAUAGGACUUUCGGGCUUUUGACUUGCAGACCCUGUUUCCCUUUAACAAGAAGAAAAAAAAAAAUAGGGGGUGGGGGAACUAAAAAUAGGCAUAGUGAAAAGGAGGAAUUAUAAAAUUGGAUUCAAGAAGUUGCCUCUAUACCAGGGCUGCUACUUCAGAUUGCUUGAAUUGGGUCCUUCUUACUGUGACCCACUGCUCACAGAACUGGACAUUCAGCGUUUACCUUUCUAAGACAUCACAGUGCACACAAAUCAAGGAGACAGACAGCAAUGCUGCAGCAGGGCAGGAGGAACAUGGAAUUAGGCUGAAGGGUAAACAUCAGGGUUCACCAUCGAUCUAUCUAUUUAUUUCAAGUGCCGUGACUGGAUCCCUGAAUGCAAAAUAUUUGGGUCAGAUCCUGGAGUAAAUAAGGCAUUAAUUGGCAGCAGCUUAGAUGACUAAAGUGGAGAGAAAUGUAUGAAAGGUAGAUUAUAAAUACACUAUAUCCUUUUUGUAUGUUGCUGACAGUGCUGGCAAGGUAAUACAAUUUUAGGAUAAUGAAAAGGGAUAAAAUAAGAACAUUAUUUCUUGAUAAUUUCCAAGAAGAUAUGAACCACUUGUUGUAUAUAUGUCCUAUAUGCCUCACGUGAACUUCCUACCUUUUCAGUUUCUCCAAAUUUUAUCUCCUUUUUAAGUCUCUGCAAUUUACUACUACAACUCAUUUGUUCAUUCAUCUUUUAACAAGUAACUCAAGUUCCAUUUGAGCAAGUUCCUAGCACCAUAAACAAACCAACUCUGGAGAGUGAAUUUGGAAGAAUGGAGGACACUGUCUGCUGGAUAAAUAGUGUUACGGACUGCAUGUUUGUAAUCUCCCAAAAUUCAUAUGUUGAAACUUUAGCCCCCAGAGGAAUGGUAGUAAGACAUGGUGUCUUUGGCAGGUAAUUAGGUUUAAAUGAGAUCAUGAAGGUGGAGUCCUCAUAAUAGGAUUAGUAUACUUAUAAGGAGAGAAACAGACUAGCACUUGCAAUCUCUGCCAUGUGAGGACACAGCAAAAAUACGUCUGUCUGCAAACCAGGAAGAAGGGACUCACCAAGAACCCAACCAUGAAGCACCCUGAUCUUGAACUUCCAGCCUCUAGAACUGUGAAAAGUAAAUAUUUGUUGUUUAAGCCACCCAGUCUAUGGUAUUUCUGUUAUAGCAGCCCUGAUUGACUAAAAUAAAUAGGGAUUUUUAAAAAAUGGCUACAUUUGCUUAUGAAUGAAUUGAUAAUUACUUUCCCUCCA
rnacentral:lncRNA from 10 species